rnacentral:rRNA from 1 species
AAUCAACCGAGAUUCCCCCAGUAGCGGCGAGCGAACGGGGAGCAGCCCAGAGCCUGAAUCAGUGUGUGUGUUAGUGGAAGCGUCUGGAAAGGCGUGCGAUACAGGGUGACAGCCCCGUACACAAAAAUGCACAUAUUGUGAGCUCGAUGAGUAGGGCGGGACACGUGGUAUCCUGUCUGAAUAUGGGGGGACCAUCCUCCAAGGCUAAAUACUCCUGACUGACCGAUAGUGAACCAGUACCGUGAGGGAAAGGCGAAAAGAACCCCGGCGAGGGGAGUGAAAAAGAACCUGAAACCGUGUACGUACAAGCAGUGGGAGCACGCUUAGGCGUGUGACUGCGUACCUUUUGUAUAAUGGGUCAGCGACUUAUAUUCUGUAGCAAGGUUAACCGAAUAGGGGAGCCGAAGGGAAACCGAGUCUUAACUGGGCGUUAAGUUGCAGGGUAUAGACCCGAAACCCGGUGAUCUAGCCAUGGGCAGGUUGAAGGUUGGGUAACACUAACUGGAGGACCGAACCGACUAAUGUUGAAAAAUUAGCGGAUGACUUGUGGCUGGGGGUGAAAGGCCAAUCAAACCGGGAGAUAGCUGGUUCUCCCCGAAAGCUAUUUAGGUAGCGCCUCGUGAAUUCAUCUCCGGGGGUAGAGCACUGUUUCGGCAAGGGGGUCAUCCCGA